rnacentral:rRNA from 1 species
UACAGAGGUCCCGAGCGUUGUGCGGAUUCAUUGGGCGUAAAGGGUGCGUAGGUGGCGCUGUAGGUGGGGUGUGAAAUCCCGGGGCUUAACUCCGGAACUGCAUUCCAUACUGCGGUGCUUGAGGACUGGAGAGGAGACUGGAAUUUACGGUGUAGCAGUGAAAUGCGUAGAGAUCGUAAGGAAGACCAGUGGCGAAGGCGGGUCUCUGGACAGUUCCUGACACUGAGGCACGAAGGCCAGGGGAGCGAACGGG